ACGGGAGGCAGCAGUGGGGAAUAUUGGACAAUGGGGGAAACCCUGAUCCAGCGACGCCGCGUGAGUGAAGAAGUAUUUCGGUAUGUAAAGCUCUAUCAGCAAGGAAGAAAAUGACGGUACCUGACUAAGAAGCCCCGGCUAACUACGUGCCAGCAGCCGCGGUAAUACGUAGGGGGCAAGCGUUAUCCGGAUUUACUGGGUGUAAAGGGAGCGUAGGUGGCCUGGCAAGUCAGAUGUGAAAGCCCGCGGCUCAACCGCGGGACUGCAUUUGAAACUGUCAGGCUGGAGUGCAGGAGGGGAAAGCGGAAUUCCUAGUGUAGCGGUGAAAUGCGUAGAUAUUAGGAAGAACACCGGCGGCGAAGGCGGCUUUCUGGACUGUAACUGACACUGAGGCUCGAAAGCGUGGGGAGCAAACAGGAUUAGAUACCCUGGUA
rnacentral:rRNA from 1 species